CCAAGGAGUAUUGACAGAUGCUGCAGGCAUCCUCUGAUGACCACCAGAUGGUGUGAUUCCCUCAUCUGUUGAUCUGAAGUUUCUCUCACAUGGAAAAUGUGGUUUUGACAACUUCAGCAUCUGCAGUUACCGCAGCAUCACACACGCUCGCGCUGACCUGAAGAGGGUGCGUUUCCGCUGCUGAAAGGAGCGUGUUUGAGGAUGAUUUAUUGGACUUCUGUGUGCUGAUGUCAGCCUCUGUUUUACCAGCAUCAUAAAGGUGCUUCUGCAAACACACCUCACUCGCCUCAUGUUUGGAGAACAAGCACGUCAGACUGAGUACAUGCAUCUGUGCAGACGCUGUGUUUUGCAGUCCGAGUUUCCCUUACGCUGCUUUCUGUCAGGGUGACGACUCGACUCCGUCUGUCAGCACU
rnacentral:lncRNA from 12 species